UCCAGACUCCUACGGGAGGCAGCAGUGAGGAAUAUUGGUCAAUGGGCGGAAGCCUGAACCAGCCAAGUCGCGUGAGGGAAGAAGGCCCUGCGGGUCGCAGACCUCUUUGGACGGGGAGCAAGGCCGCCGACGUGUCGGCGGAAGGAGAGUACCCGUAGAACAAGCAUCGGCUAACUCCGUGCCAGCAGCCGCGGUAAUACGGAGGAUGCGAGCGUUAUCCGGAUUUACUGGGUGUAAAGGGAGCGUAGACGGCGAAGAAAGUCUGAAGUGAAAGCCCGCGGCUCAACCGCGGAAUGGCUUUGGAAACUUUUUUGCUGGAGUACCGGAGAGGUAAGCGGAAUUCCUAGUGUAGCGGUGAAAUGCGUAGAUAUUAGGAGGAACACCAGUGGCGAAGGCGGCUUACUGGACGGUAACUGACGUUGAGGCUCGAAAGCGUGGGGAGCAAACAGGAUUAGAUACCCCUGUA
rnacentral:rRNA from 1 species